rnacentral:lncRNA from 1 species
UACAAGGAUAUAUCUGAAAAUACUAACUUUAUAGCUUUAUAUAUAUAUAUAUAGAGAGAGAGAGAGUCCGGCUACUAUACUUUUAUGAGUAUAGAGCCUACUGUACUCAUAAGUUUUUGGCCGUUAGAUCUACCCUUUAAUUAUUUUCACCCGUUGGAUUAUACUAUUCAACCAAUCACCCACUCAACCAUAGGGGGCCCACUAUCAAUCUAACCGUAAUCACUUUCAUCCUAACCGUAUAUUUUUUUAUCUGAACGGUCGAAAAUUUAUGAGUACAAAGGGCUCUAUACUCAUAUGAGUAUAGUAGCCCCAGCCUAUAUAUAUAUAUAUAUAUU